UCGUUUUAUUACGGAGAGUUUGAUCCUGGCUCAGGAUGAACGCUAGCGGCGUGCUUUAUGCAUGCAAGUCGAACGGUUUUUAAGUCUUCGGAUUUGAAAACAGUGGCAAACGGGUGAGUAACACGUAGGUAACCUGCCCCUAAGUUUGGGAUAACUCCGGGAAACCGGGGCUAAUACUGGAUGUGGUAACCGGGUGAUGCCUGGUUACUAAAGCCUUAGGGCGCUUGGGGAGGGGCCUGCGUCCGAUUAGCUAGUUGGUGGGGUAAUGGCCCACCAAGGCAAUGAUCGGUAGCUGGUCUGAGAGGACGGUCAGCCACACUGGGACUGAGACACGGCCCAGACUCCUACGGGAGGCAGCAGCAAGGAAUUUUGGGCAAUGGGCGAAAGCCUGACCCAGCAACGCCGCGUGGGGGAUGAAAGCCCUCGGGUUGUAAACCCCUUUUCCCAGGGAAGAAUAAUGACGGUACCUGGGGAAUAAGCCCCGGCUAACUACGUGCCAGCAGCCGCGGUAAUACGUAGGGGGCAAGCGUUAUCCGGAUUUACUGGGCGUAAAGAGGACGUAGGCGGCUUUUCAAGUCGGAUGUGAAAUUUCCCGGCUCAACCGGGACGGGUCAUUCGAUACUGUUGGGCUAGAGGACAGCAGGGGGAGACGGAAUUCCCGGUGUAGUGGUGGAAUACGUAGAUA
rnacentral:rRNA from 1 species